ACCGAGUUUACAACUCCCAAACCCAAUGUGAACGUUACCAAACUGUUGCCUCGGCGGGAUCUCUGCCCCGGGUGCGUCGCAGCCCCGGACCAAGGCGCCCGCCGGAGGACCAACCAAAACUCUUAUUGUAUACCCCCUCGCGGGUUUUUUUAUAAUCUGAGCCUUCUCGGCGCCUCUCGUAGGCGUUUCGAAAAUGAAUCAAAACUUUCAACAACGGAUCUCUUGGUUCUGGCAUCGAUGAAGAACGCAGCGAAAUGCGAUAAGUAAUGUGAAUUGCAGAAUUCAGUGAAUCAUCGAAUCUUUGAACGCACAUUGCGCCCGCCAGUAUUCUGGCGGGCAUGCCUGUCCGAGCGUCAUUUCAACCCUCGAACCCCUCCGGGGGGUCGGCGUUGGGGAUCGGCCCUCCCUUAGCGGGGUGGCCGUCUCCGAAAUACAGUGGCGGUCUCGCCGCAGCCUCUCCUGCGCAGUAGUUUGCACACUCGCAUCGGGAGCGCGGCGCGUCCACAGCCGUUAAACACCCAACUUCUGAAAUGUUGACCUCGGAUCAGGUAGGAAUACCCGCUGAACUUAAGCAUAUCAAUAA
rnacentral:rRNA from 1 species